rnacentral:rRNA from 1 species
UACGUAGGGUGCAAGCGUUGUCCGGAAUUAUUGGGCGUAAAGAGCUCGUAGGCGGCUUGUCGCGUCGGCUGUGAAAACCUGGGGCUCAACCCCGGGCCUGCAGCCGAUACGGGCAAGCUAGAAUUCGGUAGGGGAGACUGGAAUUCCUGGUGUAGCGGUGAAAUGCGCAGAUAUCAGGAAGAACACCUAUGGCGAAGGCAGCGCGCGGGGACGGGACUGACGCUGAGGCGCGAAAGCGGGGGGAGCGAACGGG